AGUGAACGCUGGCGGCAGGCCUAAUACAUGCAAGUCGAACGGCAGCACAGCAGAGCUUGCUCUGUGGGUGGCGAGUGGCGGACGGGUGAGGAAUACAUGGGAAUCUGCCCAGUCGUGGGGGAUAACGUAGGGAAACUUACGCUAAUACCGCAUGCGCCCUUCGGGGGAAAGCCGGGGACCUUCGGGCCUGGCGCGAUUGGAUGAGCCCAUGUCGGAUUAGCUAGUUGGCGGGGUAAUGGCCCACCAAGGCGACGAUCCGUAGCUGGUCUGAGAGGAUGAUCAGCCACACUGGAACUGAGACACGGUCCAGACUCCUACGGGAGGCAGCAGUAGGGAAUAUUGGACAAUGGGCGCAAGCCUGAUCCAGCCAUGCCGCGUGAGUGAAGAAGGCCCUCGGGUUGUAAAGCUCUUUUGUCCGGAAAGAAAAGCGCCGGGUUAAUACCCUGGUGUCCUGACGGUACCGGAAGAAUAAGCACGGCUAACUCGUGCCAGCACG
rnacentral:rRNA from 1 species